AACGAACGCUGGCGGCAGGCUUAACACAUGCAAGUCGAACGCCCGCAAGGGAGGUGGCAGACGGGUGAGUAACGCGUGGGAAGUCUACCUAGUUCUACGGAACAACAGAGGGAAACUUCUGCUAAUACCGUAUACGCCCUAAGGGGAAAGGAUUUAUCGGAAUUAGAUGAGCCCGCCGUAAGAUUAGCUAGUUGGUGGGGUAAUGGCCUACCAAGGCGACGAUCUUUAGCUGGUCUGAGAGGAUGAUCAGCCACACUGGGACUGAGACACGGCCCAGACUCCUACGGGAGGCAGCAGUGGGGGAAUAUUGGACAAUGGGCGCAAGCCUGAUCCAGCCAUUGCCGCGUGAGUGAUGAAGGCCUUAGGGUUGGUAAAGCUCUUUCAGUGGGGACGGAUAAAUGACGGUACCCACAGAAGAAGCCCCGGCUAACUUCGUG
rnacentral:rRNA from 1 species